rnacentral:tRNA from 1 species
UUAAUUGAAACCAAAAAGAGGUAUAUCACUGUUAAUGAUAUCAUUGAAUUCUACUUCCAAUUAAA